rnacentral:rRNA from 1 species
UACAGAGGUCUCAAGCGUUGUUCGGAUUCAUUGGGCGUAAAGGGUGCGUAGGCGGCGCGGUAAGCCGGGUGUGAAAUCUCGGAGCUUAACUCCGAAACUGCAUUCGAUACUGCCGUGCUUGAGGACUGGAGAGGAGACUGGAAUUUACGGUGUAGCGGUGAAAUGCGUAGAUAUCGUAAGGAAGACCAGUGGCGAAGGCGGGUCUCUGGACAGUUACUGACGCUGAGGCACGAAGGUCAGGGGAGCAAACGGG